rnacentral:lncRNA from 1 species
CUCAUUAAGCUGGCGGCUUGUUGAUUUUUCUGGAAAUAUAGAUUUGAUUACUCGACCCUUAUCCUCCAUAUACUGAUCAAACAAUGAAGCCUAGAACAAAUAAACACAAUUAGUUAAUUAACACUAACCAUACAUGACAUAUAUAUAAUAUAAUAUACCCCAGGUAACUCAAGAAGAGGAACUUGAGAAUUGCUUCUAUGGGAAAAGGAGGAACUUCUCUUAUUCUUGCAACCCAAGUUCCCUGAGCUAGAAGAUGAUGAUGAUGAUGAUGAUGAUGAUGAUGAUGAUGAUGCAACACAACAAUGGUGAUGAUGAAGAAACUUGUGCUUCUUCGGUGAGAAAUUAUUGAUGCACGAAGAAAACCAAGGUUGGAAGAGAAAGGGUAUGCUUGCCAUAAUAAUUAAAAAGAUAAUAAUAAUAAUUCAAAUGUAUCAUACAUGUAUAUAGUAUAGGUCGUAUAUUUCCGUUUCUAAUUAAUUAAUU